AACGAACGCUGGCGGCAGGCCUAAAACAUGCAAGUCGAACGAACCUUCGGGUUAGUGGCGCACGGGUGAGUAACGCGUGGGAAUGUGCCUCUGGGUGCGGAACAACGUCGGGAAACUGACGCUAAUACCGCAUAAUGUCUACGGACCAAAGAUUUAUCGCCCAGAGAUCAGCCCGCGUCUGAUUAGCUAGUUGGUGAGGUAACGGCUCACCAAGGCUACGAUCAGUAGCUGGUCUGAGAGGAUGAUCAGCCACACUGGAACUGAGACACGGUCCAGACUCCUACGGGAGGCAGCAGUUAGGAAUAUUGGACAAUGGGGGAAACCCUGAUCCAGCCAUGCCGCGUGUGUGAAGAAGGCCUUAGGGUUGUAAAGCACUUUCGGCUGUGAAGAUAAUGACAGUAGCAGAAGAAGAAGCUCGGCUAAAUUCGUG
rnacentral:rRNA from 1 species